rnacentral:tRNA from 1 species
GAGGGCAUAGCUCAGUGGUAGAGCAUGCUUAGCAUGCAUAAAGCCCUGGGUUCAAUCCCUGUACCUCCA